AUUGAACGCUGGCGGCAGGCCUAAUACAUGCAAGUCGAGCGGUGCGUCGGACGGGGGAGUAAUGUCUAGGAAUCUGCCUGGUUGUGGGGGAUAACGUCCGGUAACGGGCGCUAAUAACGCACACUAUGAGAUGAGACUAGGUCGGAUUAGCUCGUUGGUGUGGUAAAGGCCCACCCAGGCGACGAUCCGAAACUGGUCUGAGAGGAUGAUCAGUCACACUGGAAAUGAGAUACGGUCCAGACUCCUACGGGAGGCAGCAGUGGGGAAUAUUGGACAAGGAGCGAAAGCCUGAUCCAGCCAUGCCGCGUGUGUGAAGAAGGUCUUCGGAUUGUGAAGCACUUUAAGUUGGGAGGCGUUACCAACAGAAUAAGCACCGGCUAACUCCGUGCCAGCAGCCGCGGUAAUUC
rnacentral:rRNA from 1 species